AUCUUUGUGCAAUGGCAAUAUCACAGCUCAUGACGUUUAUCUGAGGCACAAUUAUUGCUGAUUGAAACUUUUAGAGUAGUGAU
rnacentral:snRNA from 1 species